rnacentral:tRNA from 1 species
UGCGGGGUAGAGCAGUGGUAGCUUGUCAGAGUCAUGAUCUGAAGGCCGAUGGUUCGAUUCCAUCCUCCGCAACCA